rnacentral:rRNA from 1 species
GACGAACGCUGGCGGCGUGCUUAACACAUGCAAGUCGAACGAAGUGGCGAACGGGUGAGUAACGCGUAAUCAACCUGCCCUUCAGAGGGGGACAACUGUUGGAAACGACUGCUAACACCGCACAUUUAAGGUGGGGAUUGCGUCUGCUUCGCUAGUUGGAGGGGUAACGGCCCAGCAAUGCGAAGAUCAGUAGCCGGUCGUAGAGGAGGAACGGCCACAUUGGGACUGAGACACGGCCCAGACUCCUACGGGAGGCAGCAGUGGGGAAUCUUCCGCAAUGGACGAAAGUCUGACGGAGCAACGCCGCGUGAGUGAUGACGGCCUUCGGGUUGUAAAGCUCUGUUAAUCGGGACGCGGUACCGGAAUAGAAAGCCACGGCUAACUACGUGCCAGCAGCCGCGGUAAUAC